GGGCACAUGGUGUAGUUGGUUAUCACACCCGCUUUGCAGGUCGUAAUUCUUGGCUUCCCUGCGGGUGGUCCCCGGUUCAAUUCCGGGUGUGUCCA